GGGCCUAUAGCUCAGCUGGUUAGAGCGCACGCCUGAUAAGCGUGAGGUCGAUGGUUCGAGUCCAUUUAGGCCCAGCA
rnacentral:tRNA from 1 species